UACGUAGGGAGCAAGCGUUGUCCGGAAUUACUGGGCGUAAAGGGCACGUAGGUGGGCGCUUAAGUCAGGUGUGAAAACUCCGGGCUCAACCUGGAGACUGCACUUGAAACUGGGUGUCUUGAGGGCAGGAGAGGAAAGUGGAAUUCCUAGUGUAGCGGUGAAAUGCGUAGAUAUUAGGAGGAACACCAGUGGCGAAGGCGACUUUCUGGACUGUACCUGACGCUGAGGCGCGAAAGCGUGGGUAGCGAACGGG
rnacentral:rRNA from 1 species